UUGCAUAUCAUUAUUAUUAUUAUUAUUAUUUAACCAGAAGUGGGAGCAGCAGCAGGGAGAAGAAGAAGGAAAUCGUAACGGGACCCACCGAAGUACAGAUGUUGUGAAUGUGAAUGAUCAGGUGUGAAUAAUUUCACGGCAUGGGUUUGAUUUCAGAUUCUCAAUUUUAUUAUAAAGUCUUUCACGUCUCUUUUCGUGGCAACCUUCCAAACAAUGCGGACCUCGAGAAUACAGAGAGUUAGAUAAUAUUCAUGCCAGCCAAAAAGUUAAGGAGGCGAAGAGUGGGGAAAAACAUACCACAAACAAACCUGAAUUUGUACACUAACCGACUUUUGUAAUUGGAUUUCCAUGCAAAUUGGUAAUACGAAAGAGCCAAGAAAUGCAUAGGCUGGUGUGAUAGGUCGGGCAUAAAGGGUGUCGCAAGAGUUUAGGCAGUAAGAAGAGCAUCAGCAGAGUGAGAUUCUGCAGAAAAUGUGUAAACUUUUGGCUUCUCGAUUUUCAGAUAUGUGUUUGUGAAAAAAAUUUCUGGAAUUUGUAUUUAAUAUUAAAUGUGAAAAAUGCCAAAAUAUUUAGGAAAAAUAAUAAAACAAAUAUAAAAA